rnacentral:sRNA from 1 species
CUGUUUUAAUUUUCCCAUGUUCUGUUCUGGUCUUUGCUUGAAGUGCAUACUUAAUUUAUAAUUAAAUGUGUAAUUAUGGAACAGAUAAAUACAAUUUAGAUUUCCUAUGUUAUAUAACUUUUAGAUGAGUUUGGCCAAAGGGAAAUCAGUAAUAAUGAGGAUGGCACGGAUUAGUCAGAACCGGCUCUAGUUGACCCCUGCUUGUUUUGUCUCAUUUAAAGCUCACAAGAACUGUCAGGAAGUCGCACCGUCCUGAGGAGUAGAUUAAAACACUGUAGAUAUUGAGAAAGCCAUUUGAGGUCACAGUCUGCACGAGAGGGAACAUGUCACCCAGGAGCCGAGGAAGUACAAGGAGAUGACCAACAGGCACACCAGCCCGAAGACGACAAGGCGUUGAUAUCGUUCAGAUUACUCCUUCCAAGGUGUGUCGAGCUGUGCAUGUCAGUACAUGUGUCAUUGGAGGCCAGAAGACUGUGAUGGAUCUCUUGGAGCUGGAGUUAAGGUGGUUGUAAACUUUGAAUUCAAGUAGGGUCCUUUGGAAGAACAGUACAUGCUCCUAGCUACUGAGCUAUCCUCGAGACCAGUGCUUUCUUGAAAACAACUUCUGAUGAACACUAGGCCUCUGUCAGUCCUCAAGAAUCUGACCAGAGCUGCACCCGUGUGCUUGUCAUUAGGAAGCCUGCUUAGCCCGCUGCAGAGGAAUCCUAGUCCAUCACACCUUUGGCGUGAAGUCCUACUGGGCCAAGUGGGCUUCCUAGGAGCUGUUUCUAGCCAAGUCUCCAUAUGCCUAGUGGGCGGGUGUUGAAACCUGGGUCAGGCUUGGCAGGAGAUCUGCAGAGGGAGCUGUUACAACCCAAACAGUCACUGUGUGCACAGUGCUUCACAUGUCUUCCAUAUGCCUGGAACCAGUCACUGGAAACUGCAAGACUCUGUGCAACCCCAAGAAAUGACUGUUAGAGAAAGUAAGUGCCUGGGACUCACGGGACUAUUAGGUCUAAUCAGCAUCCUAAGAACUACUGAGUAUUUAAAUUAUCACACUGAGGGAAAUAGACCCCGGUCAGUCCUUCUGCUUUUGGACUGAAAUAAAGAUGUUUGGUCGUCUGACUUCCUAGCCUUAUUCUGGAUGUGACAGCUCUCUUUCCUUCUGAUGAGUUUCCAGCUCAAGGUCAGAUGGGGUUUGGGAGGAAGCAUUGCUCACAAACCAAGUGUGAGGACACGUGCUCCAGGCGAGCCACAGCCUUUGGACUCCAUCCUGGACUUUGACUGCUGCGUGGAGUAGGGCUGGAACUAGAGAAAUGUCACUGGACUGACUCAUUACACAUGCUCCCAGAACCAUGAGCGGGUGAUCCCCGCUAAGGAGUGUCGUGCUCAUGCUGAUAGAAUCUGGCAAACGUGAACUUCAUCACUGGAUCUGCAGUGGAAGAGAAGGCAGCACUCACAGCCACAGAAACCCCCUCCCCAGUUCUGCAGGGUCUGCCUCUCUCUACCCCGCUCUGUUGUGGGCCACCUCUGUUGCCCCCUGCCAAGGAUCCCUCCCACUAACCCGGCUUCUUUGCUCCCUCCUCCAGAGCCCUAGCCCCUCGGGUCUCAUCUACAGUAUAUGCUAUGUCAGUUUUUCCCUGCCUCUGUGACUUCUGUCCCUGGUCACUCUGGGCAGCUAUGUCUGAAUGGGCAAGUGUGUGAGAGAGGACAUAGGAGGCAAAGAAAGAAAUGAGUGUGUGAAAGGCUAAGUGCUUAGCUGAUGAACACUGAACUUCUGGGACCUAAACAUUCCAGAAUGUUCUCCCCUUCAGCUGGACAGUGUUACUACAGGAUCUUUAUUUUAGAUCCUUUGAGAAAAUGAAAACAUUCCUAUUGUGAACCCAUUUAACCCA